CACUGCCGAGAAAAGCCUCUAGAUAGAAAAUAGGUGCCCGUACCGCAAACCGACACAGGUAGUCAAGAUGAGAAUUCUAAGGUGAGCGAGCGAACUCUCGUUAAGGAACUCGGCAAAAUGACCCCGUAACUUCGGGAGAAGGGGUGCUCUUUAGGGUUAACGCCCAGAAGAGCCGCAGUGAAUAGGCCCAAGCGACUGUUUAUCAAAAACACAGGUCUCUGCUAAACCGUAAGGUGAUGUAUAGGGGCUGACGCCUGCCCGGUGCUGGAAGGUUAAGAGGAGUGGUUAGCUUCUGCGAAGCUACGAAUCGAAGCCCCAGUAAACGGCGGCCGUAACUAUAACGGUCCUAAGGUAGCGAAAUUCCUUGUCGGGUAAGUUCCGACCCGCACGAAAGGCGUAACGAUUUGGGCACUGUCUCAACGAGAGACUCGGUGAAAUCAUAGUACCUGUGAAGAUGCAGGUUACCCGCGACAGGACGGAAAGACCCCGUGGAGCUUUACUGUAGCCUGAUAUUGAAAUUCGGCACAGCUUGUACAGGAUAGGUAGGAGCCUUUGAAACGUGAGCGCUAGCUUACGUGGAGGCGCUGGUGGGAUACUACCCUAGCUGUGUUGGCUUUCUAACCCGCACCACUUAUCGUGGUGGGAGACAGUGUCAGGCGGGCAGUUUGACUGGGGCGGUCGCCUCCUAAAAGGUAACGGAGGCGCUCAAAGGUUCCCUCAGAAUGGUUGGAAAUCAUUCAUAGAGUGUAAAGGCAUAAGGGAGCUUGACUGCGAGACCUACAAGUCGAGCAGGGUCGAAAGACGGACUUAGUGAUCCGGUGGUUCCGCAUGGAAGGGCCAUCGCUCAACGGAUAAAAGCUACCCCGGGGAUAACAGGCUUAUCUCCCCCAAGAGUUCACAUCGACGGGGAGGUUUGGCACCUCGAUGUCGGCUCAUCGCAUCCUGGGGCUGUAGUCGGUCCCAAGGGUUGGGCUGUUCGCCCAUUAAAGCGGU
rnacentral:rRNA from 1 species